CUCUCAGUCAUCCUAGGCUUCUGCGUCUCCUUCAAUGUUGAUGUGAAAAACUCAAUGAGUUUCAGUGGCCCAGUAGAGGACAUGUUUGGAUACACUGUUCAACAAUAUGAAAACGAAGAAGGCAAAUGGGUUCUUAUUGGUUCUCCUUUAGUUGGCCAACCCAAAGCAAGAACUGGAGAUGUCUAUAAGUGUCCGGUUGGGAGAGAGAGAGCAAUGCCUUGCGUGAAGUUGGACUUGCCAGGUGUGUAAAAUUAAGCAGGCCUUCCUGACUUGUGCCCAUAUUCUCACUGCCAACAACUUUCAGUGACCCAAGAAAAUACUAAAAGUAAAACUAAUAAAAAACACUAAAAGU
rnacentral:lncRNA from 1 species